AUUGAACGCUGGCGGCAGGCUUAACACAUGCAAGUCGAACGAGUUGCGGACGGGUGUGUAAUGUCUGGGAAAUGGCCUGAUGGAGGGGGAUAACUACUGGAAACGGUAGCUAAUACCGCAUACCAUCAGAUGUGCCCAUAUGGGAUUAGCUCGUAGGUGGGGUAAUGGCUUACCUAGGCGACGAUCCCUAGCUGGUCUGAGAGGAUGACCAGCCACACUGUAACUGAUACACGGUCCAGACGCCUACGGGAGGCAGCAGUGGGGAAUAUUGAGCAAUGGGCGCAAGCCUGGUGCAGCCAUGCCGCGUGUGUGAAGAAGGCCUUCGGGUUGUAAAGCACUUUCAGCGAGGAGGCGUUACUCGCAGAAGAAGCAACGGCUAACUCCGUGCCAGCAGCCGCGGUAAUUC
rnacentral:rRNA from 1 species